rnacentral:rRNA from 1 species
CUCCGGUUGAUCCUGCCGGACCCGACUGCUAUCAGAGUGGGACUAAGCCAUGCGAGUCGACGUAGCAAUGCGUGGCGAACGGCUCAGUAACACGUAGUCAACAUGCCCAGGGGACGUGGAUAACCUCGGGAAACUGAGAAUAAACCACGAUAGGUCACGAUUUCUGGAAUGGAUCAUGGCCUAAAUCUACAUGGCCCCUGGAUUGGACUGCGGCCGAUCAGGCUGUUGGUGAGGUAAUGGCCCACCAAACCUAUAACCGGUACGGGCUCUGAGAGGAGAAGCCCGGAGAUGGGCACUGAGACAAGGGCCCAGGCCCUAUGGGGCGCAGCAGGCGCGAAACCUCUGCAAUAGGCGAAAGCCUGACAGGGUUACUCUGAGUGAUUUCCGCUAAGGGGAUCUUUUGGCACCUCUAAAAAUGGUGCAGAAUAGGGGGUGGGCAAGUCUGGUGUCAGCCGCCGCGGUAAUACCAGCACCCCGAGUGGUCGGGACGAUUAUUGGGCCUAAAGCAUCCGUAGCCGGUUCUGCAAGUCUUCCGUUAAAUCCAGCCGCUCAACGGAUGGGCCGCGGAGGAUACUACAGGACUAGGAGGCGGGAGAGGCAAGCGGUACUCAGUGGGUAGGGGUAAAAUCCUUUGAUCCAUUGAAGACCACCAGUGGCGAAGGCGGCUUGCCAGAACGCGCUCGACGGUGAGGGAUGAAAGCUGGGGGAGCAAACCGGAUUAGAUACCCGGGUAGUCCCAGCUGUAAACGAUGCAGACUCGGUGAUGGGCUAGCCUUGUGCCAGCCCAGUGCCGCAGGGAAGCCGUUAAGUCUGCCGCCUGGGGAGUACGGUCGCAAGACUGAAACUUAAAGGAAUUGGCGGGGGAGCA